rnacentral:lncRNA from 1 species
UUUUUUUUUUUGCCGCACACUGUUUUCCGGCAAUUUCACCGCGGUCAGUCCACCGCCGGGCGCACCACCGAUCAUUGAACGCUCCUCUCUUCCUCCUCUUCCAUCUUAGGUGGAGGAGAAAUCGAGGGUGAACAGUAACGCACCCGGGUUUGCAGCUUUUGGGCCAAUUUCCGGUCAUUUGGUCGUGAAUUGAGUAUGUUUUGUGGCAGGUAUUAAAGUUGUUCUACAAAUUGUGGAGAUCGUUGUAGUGUAGGUGGGUUUGCCGGAUUUGGGAGUUGGUGAGGUGGAGCACGAAGCCACGCGCCGCCACUGGUGGUGGCGCCACCAAAAAAUGCUUAAUUUUAGUUUGUUAAUUAUAUCCUGUGUAUGGGAAUCGUUGACUACCUUAAUAUCAUGAAAUUCCGAUGAUUUGACGUUGUUCAAGAGUGUUAAGUUUGGAACUAUUGGAUAUGUAUGAUUGUUAUACAAGAAUAUUAAUAUCGAGAGUUGUUUAAAAUAAUUGUUGUUGUGUUAGAGUUUUGGAUUUUAAUUUUCGAGGAAUUUGGAGAAUUGGAAAGGGAAAUUGUUUUUAAUUUAUUAGUUAAAAGUAUAUUUGUUGUUGGGAGAUUGAAAUUGAAUUUGAUUUAGAUGUUGAAAGAGGAGUUGAGAAGGACGUAUUGAGCCCACGAGAGAGGAGGACACCAGCAAACAGCAGGAUUAGCUGCGAGACUCACCUGUGAAUGGACCUUUGUUUUAAUCAAACUAUGCAUGCAGUAUGGAUUUUCAAGCAUGGGAUUAAAUUGUGAAUUGAAAAUAAUUAACUAUUUAAAUGUGAUUUCGUUGAAAGAAAUGAGUUGACAAGGAGGCUACUAUCCGGCGCAUGCGUACAUUACCUAGUCGGCAGCCUCCUCCAGGAUAUUCCGGUCGACAGUCCCCUUCGGUGAGUUAUCUGGUCGGCAGUCCCUUCCAGAUGACAUGAGAUAGUUAGUCGACAGUUCCCUCUACUACCUGUGGUUAGUCGGCAGUCCCCUCUAACCACCGCCUCCUAAAUUCUGGUCGGCAGUCCCUUCCGAUACGUCAUCUGGGCGGCAGUCCCCACCAGAUGGCAUGAGAUGACUAGUCAGCAGCCCUCUCUAGUCAUUGAAUGUUUUUUAUGGAAAGGUUGACUUCGAACGAAUUUGGGGAUUUUUUAUAAAUUGCACUGCAUACCGGAUUUAAAUAGCAAGAAAAUGGG